AUUUGGCAUCAUGUCGCUUUACAGACCCGCUGGUGAACAAGUACAGUGCAAUCCCCCUAAGCUGAACUCAUUUUGAAAACUAUACCCCAAGUGUAUUCAACUAGAGAAAUGUAGAUACAUUUGCAAAGAUUUUCAAAUCACUGAGAAAUUUCUGUUACAGUCAAGGAUACCCGAUUUAUCAUGGCAAGGAGGAAGAAACUAAAAGAAGAGUGAACCAAAAUCACACCAGAGUAGUGUGAGAGACUAGUGAUGUCCUGUGGGGGGCACAGAUGUGCUUAAGUCAUUCAAAGCAAAGGCCUGUCCACUUCCCUUCUGAUUGGUGACUGUUGGAAUCUUCAGAAAAUUUACUAAGAAUCUUUCUCUGCGCUACAGUCAUUGCUGUUCUUAAAACAUUUUAUUUUUUUUAAAUAAAGGUUUUAUGUUGAUAUACAUUUGUUAUUUUGUAAAACACUGUUACCCCUUACAAAAAAUCCUUCAAAUUAUGAUCAAUGUAGAUUACAUUACUUCAGAAUAAAUCAAGUGUUCAUGAAUUGUUCUCAAAUUUUGAUCUCCCGUGUAUGACUCCAGUAUAAAAAUUGCACCUCUCAAAGAAUUCAAAUUGACAUUCAGAAAGGAAGAAGCGACAUUUGGCUGGAAUAGUUUUUGGGGGUCUUUACAAGUUUUUGUUGCAUUUACAAACCCCCAAUGUGACUCCAUUUUAGGAAAUUUUCAUUUUUACAAGGGCUAAAAGGAGAAAAGGCUCCAAAAAUGUGUAACCCACUUUCUCCCAAGUACGGAAAUACCCCAUAUGUGGACACAUGGCAGGGCUCAGAAGUGAAAGCAUGCCAUUGGGAUUUUGGAGAAUGCUUUUGACGAGAAUGGAUAUUAGGGGUUAUGUCACGUUUAUAAAGCCCCCGUGAUACCAGAACAGUGGAAACCUCCCAAAUUUGACCAUUUUGGAAACUAAACCCCUAAAAGGAACAUAGCUAGGAGUGCAGUGAUCAUUUAGACUCCACAGGUGUAAACAUAUUUACUGCCCACUGUUCCAAAAAUCUGUCAGACACCAGUGGGGUCUAAAUUAUCAUUCCCCUUGUUACAUUUCUUGAGGGGUGGUUUCCAAAAUGGGUUCACAUGUGGGGUUUAAGUUUUCAGCUUGUAUGUCAGAACCUCUUCAACGAUCAGCUAUUGCAGUGCAAAUCACCAAUUUAGGCCUCAAAUGUACAUGGUGCCUUCUUACUCCUGAGCCACGUUGGGCAACACUGUUCUGUGGCCGGAUCGUAUUCAGUGUACAGAUAGCCCUUAUUUCUGGUCACAGAAUUUUUAAUAACCAGCCUUUUUUUGAGGUGCAGGUUUUUUACGCUUUAUUUUGGAUGUUUGUGCCACCAGCAACUGUUCUGCGCUGUGUGACCGGA